rnacentral:rRNA from 1 species
UGCAAGUCGACGGCAGCGGGGGAGCUUGCUCCCGCCGGCGAGUGGCAAACGGGUGAGUAAUACAUCGGAACGUGCCCAGUAGUGGGGGAUAGCCCGGCGAAAGCCGGAUUAAUACCGCAUACGACCUACGGGUGAAAGCGGGGGACCGUAAGGCCUCGCGCUAUUGGAGCGGCCGAUGGCUGAUUAGCUAGUUGGUGGGGUAAAGGCCUACCAAGGCUACGAUCAGUCGCUGGUCUGAGAGGACGACCAGCCACACUGGGACUGAGACACGGCCCAGACUCCUACGGGAGGCAGCAGUGGGGAAUUUUGGACAAUGGGCGAAAGCCUGAUCCAGCAAUGCCGCGUGUGCGAAGAAGGCCUUCGGGUUGUAAAGCACUUUUGUCAGGAAAGAAAUUGUCCGGGUUAAUACCCCGGGCCGUUGACGGUACCUGAAGAAUAAGCACCGGCUAACUACGUGCCAGCAGCCGCGGUAAUACGUAGGGUGCGAGCGUUAAUCGGAAUUACUGGGCGUAAAGCGUGCGCAGGCGGUUUGUUAAGACAGUUGUGAAAUCCCCGGGCUCAACCUGGGAACUGCAAUUGUGACUGGCAGGCUAGAGUUUGGCAGAGGGGGGUGGAAUUCCUGGUGUAGCAGUGAAAUGCGUAGAUAUCAGGAGGAACACCGAUGGCGAAGGCAGCCCCCUGGGCCAUGACUGACGCUCAUGC